rnacentral:rRNA from 1 species
AGUGCAUGUGGUGGAUGCCUUGGCAGUCAGAGGCGAUGAAAGACGUGAUAGCCUGCGAAAAGCUCCGGGGAGGCGGCAAAUAUCCUUUGAUCCGGAGAUGUCUGAAUGGGGGAACCCACCUACUUUAAGGUAGGUAUUGCAACAUGAAUACAUAGUGUUGCAAGGCGAACGAGGGGAAGUGAAACAUCUCAGUACCCUUAGGAAAAGAAAUCAAUUGAGAUUCCCUCAGUAGCGGCGAGCGAACGGGGAUCAGCCCAUUAAGUUAUGUGUGUUUUAGUGGAACGCUCUGGGAAGUGCGAACGUAGAGGGUGAUAUUCCCGUACACGAAAGGGCACACAUAAUGAUGACGAGUAGGGCGAGGCACGUGAAACCUUGUCUGAAUAUGGGGGGACCAUCCUCCAAGGCUAAAUACUCCUGACUGACCGAUAGUGAACCAGUACCGUGAGGGAAAGGCGAAAAGAACCCCUGUGAGGGGAGUGAAAUAGAUCCUGAAACCGCAUGCAUACAAGCAGUGGGAGCACCUUCGUGGUGUGACUGCGUACCUUUUGUAUAAUGGGUCAGCGACUUAUAUUCAGUAGCGAGGUUAACCGUAUAGGGGAGCCGUAGAGAAAUCGAGUCUUAAUAGGGCGUUUAGUUGCUGGGUAUAGACCCGAAACCAGGCGAUCUAUCCAUGAGCAGGUUGAAGGUUGGGUAACACUAACUGGAGGACCGAACCCACUGUCGUUGAAAAGCCAGGGGAUGACUUGUGGAUAGGGGUGAAAGGCUAAUCAAGCCUGGUGAUAGCUGGUUCUCCCCGAAAGCUAUUUAGGUAGCGCCUCGGACGAAUACCAUAGGGGGUAGAGCACUGUUUCGGCUAGGGGGUCAUCCCGACUUACCAAACCGAUGCAAACUCCGAAUACCUAUGAGUACUAUCCGGGAGACAGACUGCGGGUGCUAACGUCCGUAGUCAAGAGGAAAACAAUCCAGACCGCCAGCUAAGGCCCCAAAAUCAUAGUUAAGUGGGAAACGAUGUGGGAAGGCAUAGACAGCUAGGAGGUUGGCUUAGAAGCAGCCACCCUUUAAAGAAAGCGUAAUAGCUCACUAGUCGAGUCGGCCUGCGCGGAAGAUGUAACGGGGCUAAAACUAUGUGCCGAAGCCGCGGAUGUAUACUUUGUAUACGUGGUAGGGGAGCGUUCUGUAAGCCGAUGAAGGUGUGUUGAGAAGCAUGCUGGAGGUAUCAGAAGUGCGAAUGCUGACGUGAGUAACGACAAAACGGGUGAAAAACCCGUUCGCCGAAAGACCAAGGGUUCCAGUCCAACGUUAAUCGGGGCUGGGUGAGUCGACCCCUAAGGCGAGGCCGAAAGGCGUAGUCGAUGGGAAAAUGGUUAAUAUUCCAUUACUUCUGUGUAAUGCGAUGAGAGGACGGAGAAGGCUAAAUCAGCCUGGCGUUGGUUGUCCAGGUGAAAGGAUGUAGGCAUGUAUCUUAGGCAAAUCCGGGGUACUCUAUGCUGAGAUCUGAUAGCAAGCUGUACUUGUACAGCGAAGUGGUUGAUGCCAUGCUUCCAGGAAAAGUCUCUAAGCUUCAGUUACACAGGAAUCGUACCCGAAACCGACACAGGUGGUCAGGUCGAGUAGACCAAGGCGCUUGAGAGAACUCUGCUGAAGGAACUAGGCAAAAUGGUACCGUAACUUCGGGAGAAGGUACGCUGUUGUUGGUGAUGGAACUCGCUUCCUGAGCUGACGACAGCCGCAGAAACCAGGCCGCUGCAACUGUUUAUUAAAAACAUAGCACUCUGCAAACACGAAAGUGGACGUAUAGGGUGUGAUGCCUGCCCGGUGCUGGAAGGUUAAUUGAUGGGGUUAGCGUAAGCGAAGCUCUUGAUCGAAGCCCCAGUAAACGGCGGCCGUAACUAUAACGGUCCUAAGGUAGCGAAAUUCCUUGUCGGGUAAGUUCCGACCUGCACGAAUGGCAUAAUGAUGGCGGCGCUGUCUCCAGCAGAGGCUCAGUGAAAUCGAAAUCGCUGUGAAGAUGCAGUGUACCCGCGGCUAGACGGAAAGACCCCGUGAACCUUUACUGCAGCUUGACACUGAACUUUGACCUUACUUGUGUAGGAUAGGUGGGAGGCUUUGAAGCUGGAACGCUAGUUCCAGUGGAGCCGUCCUUGAAAUACCACCCUGGUAAUGUUGAGGUUCUAACUCUGUCCCGUGAUCCGGGACGAGGACCGUGUCUGGUGGGUAGUUUGACUGGGGCGGUCUCCUCCUAAAGAGUAACGGAGGAGUACGAAGGUGCGCUCAGCGUGGUCGGAAAUCACGCGUAGAGUAUAAAGGCAAAAGCGCGCUUAACUGCGAGACCCACAAGUCGAGCAGGUACGAAAGUAGGUCUUAGUGAUCCGGUGGUUCUGUAUGGAAGGGCCAUCGCUCAACGGAUAAAAGGUACUCUGGGGAUAACAGGCUGAUACCGCCCAAGAGUUCAUAUCGACGGCGGUGUUUGGCACCUCGAUGUCGGCUCAUCUCAUCCUGGGGCUGAAGCAGGUCCCAAGGGUAUGGCUGUUCGCCAUUUAAAGAGGUACGCGAGCUGGGUUUAGAACGUCGUGAGACAGUUCGGUCCCUAUCUACCGUGGGCGCUGGAAAUUUGAGAGGAUCUGCUCCUAGUACGAGAGGACCAGAGUGGACGAACCUCUGGUGUACCGGUUGUGACGCCAGUCGCAUCGCCGGGUAGCUAUGUUCGGAAGGGAUAACCGCUGAAAGCAUCUAAGCGGGAAGCCUACCUCAAGAUAAGAUUUCCCUAGGACUUUAUGUCCUCUAAAGAGCCGUUCGAGACUAGGACGUUGAUAGGUUGGAUGUGGAAGCAUAGUGAUAUGUGAAGCUGACCAAUACUAAUUGCUCGUGAGGCUUGACU